rnacentral:rRNA from 1 species
GACGAACGCUGGCGGCGUGCUUAACACAUGCAAGUCGAACGGAAAGGCCCUGCUUUUGUGGGGUGCUCGAGUGGCGAACGGGUGAGUAACACGUGAGUAACCUGCCCUUGACUUUGGGAUAACUUCAGGAAACUGGGGCUAAUACCGGAUAGGAGCUCCUGCUGCAUGGUGGGGGUUGGAAAGUUUCGGCGGUUGGGGAUGGACGCGCGGCUUAUCAGCUUGUUGGUGGGGUAGUGGCUUACCAAGGCUUUGACGGGUAGCCGGCCUGAGAGGGUGACCGGCCACAUUGGGACUGAGAUACGGCCCAGACUCCUACGGGAGGCAGCAGUGGGGAAUAUUGCACAAUGGGCGGAAGCCUGAUGCAGCAACGCCGCGUGCGGGAUGACGGCCUUCGGGUUAUAAACCGCUUUCGCCUGUGACGAAGCGUGGGUGACGGUAAUGGGUAAAGAAGCACCGGCUAACUACGUG